GCGAGAUGAGAGGGACUGAAGGAAGGCAUGGGUGAGUGUGAGCAAACCUGUCAGGCAGGAUGCUUCAGACUCAGAGAAGAUUCUCAACUCCAGCACCCGGCAUUUCAGGAAGAAAUAAGAAACAGAACAAUCUACUGAGAAUAUCACUUUACCUGAAAAAAAUAUAGUAGUCAUAUGGUAUAAGAGUUUAAAAAAUGGUACACUUGUCUAGGGCACUUACCAUGAAUGGAGCUUGGAGGACUGGAAAUUGCUGUGGGUGAGUGAGUGAGUGAUGAAUGAAUGUGAAGGUCUAGGACAUGACUGUACACUACUACAGGCUUUAUAAACACUGCACAUUUAGGCUGCACUAACUUCACAAAAAAUACUUUUUUCUUCCGUAAUAAACUAAGCUUACUUAUUCCAACUGUUUUACUGUAUAAACUUUUAAAUUUAACUUUUUGAUUCUUUUGCAAUAACAGCUUAAAACACAAACAUGUUGUACAGCUAUACAAAAAUAUUUUAUCUUUGUACCUUAAUUCUCUAAACUUUUUCUUGUUUUUAAUUUUUUUUUAACCUUUUUAAACAUUUUUGUCAACAACUAAGACACAAACACACACAUCAGCCUAGGCCUGCACAGGGUCAGGACCAUCAGUGUCACUGUCUUCCAGUGCCACAUCUUCUCCCACCAGAAAGUCCUCCUAUGGUAACAAUGGUUUCUCCCAGACGCCUCCUGAAGGACCUGCCUGAGCCUCUUCUAGAGGCGUCACUCCUUUCAGAAAUACGUCCAUGGUGGUUUGCUUGCUUUGUUUCUUUUGUCUUCCUAAAUGUUCUUAUGAGCGGAUAAUGCAUCAUGGACGCUCCUUUCUAUUAAUGAAAAUCUUUAGGUGUUGGUGCCUAUGUUUUCAAACCUUUUAAGGAGCUUGUCAAGGUCUGCAAAAGCUUCUGCUAUAUCUUUAACUGUGAAUUGCCUUGAGAGUACUUUCUUUUUCUCCUUCAGUUUCCUAUUGGCUCAUUCUUUUUUUUUGAGAUGGAGUCUCACUCUGUCGCUCAGGCUGGAGUGCAGUGGCGUGAUCUUGGCUCACUGCAACCUCCACCUCCUGGGUUCAAGUGAUUCUCCUACCUUAGCUUCCCAAGUAGCUGGGACCACAGGCAUGUGCCACCACUCCUGACACUACUGACCUCAAGUGAUCCACCUGCCUCGGCCUCCCAAAGUGCAGGGAUUAUAGAUGUGAGCCACCGUGCCCAGCCAGUUCCCUAUUCUCUUGCCUCUUCUUCAGCUACAUGUUCCUGUAUCAGUUCCAAUGACUCCUCAUUAACCCAUUCCUCAUGAACCACCUCUAAGAGAUUCUCAAUGUCAUCCUCCUCCACAUCCAGGUUAAAGCUGUUUGGUAACGCACUAGGUUUGUUUCCGCCAGCAUCACCACAAAUACAAGGAAUGCACUGCACUAUGAUGUCAUGACUGCUCUGAGGUAGCUAGGCAACGGGAAUUUUUCAGCUCCAGUGUAAUCUUAUGGAACCACCAUCACAGGUGUGGGCUGCUGUUGACCGAAAUGUCCUUAUGUGGCAUGUGACUGUAUUAUGCAAUUUUAUAUAAGGGUCUUGAAGAUCAUCUGAUUUGGGUAGUCUUGGGGGGAUCUUGGAAGCAAAUCCUACGUGAUACCGAGGGAUGACUAUACAGGGGGACAUACAGGACAAAGAGAUGAUUCAAGUCCUGGACAAAACAGAGUGGGACAGUGAGAGAUUGUAUCAUCCUGCUCAGAAGGAUGAGAAAUUGAAAACUUGUGAAUUCUUCAUUUCUGGAACUUUCCACGUAAUACCUUGGACUGUGGUUGACCAUGAGUAACUGGAACCUCAAAAAGUACACUGGCAGAUAAGGAGAAACUACUGUAGAAUCAACUUCAAAUAUUAAGGCUGGGCCCAACCUGAGUAUGUGAAUGGGAAUCUCAGGUAAGAGGCUGGGGGCACAAGAUGUGUAUCUGCACUCCAAUGUGAAAACAGGGGUGAGCUCCACUCAGACGGGGCAAGCCCAGCACACCCCCACCUUCUGGCUCUGCUCUACCCUUGGGUCUUGUUACCAGGAUUUACGUAGUGGACAGCAAAAGAGCAGAAAGAAACAUCCAGAGCAGGCAAUGUGGACCACAGUAGGGGUAAGGGUGUAGCUGGAGUGUUAAAUGUAGGGUGGAGAGGAACACAGAACCCUCCAUGAAGAAGGUAAUAUCAGAACAAAGACCUGGGGAAGAAAAGGUGUUUGCACCUGCAGCUGACAGGCUAGAGAUGUCCAGGCAGAGGGACAGCCCAGGUGGAAGCCCUGAGGCAGGAGCAACCCUGGCCCCAGGAAAGAGGUCUGUGUGGCUGCGGCAGAGGGAACGAGGGGGACACAGGGAGGAGAUGAGCUCAGAGAGGUCCUGGGAUGCAGAUCACACAGGGAUGAGGCCACCAACAUUUCUCUCCCAUACCUCCAAAGAAUUUCAGAAACAACAAAUUUCCUCAUCUGUUUUAGUAACUAUGUAAUUAUUUAUGUUAUAAAUUAAUGUACUUAUAGGCUGGGCAUGGUGGCUCAUGCCUGUAAUCCCAGCACUUUGGGAGGCCAAGGCGGGCAGAUCACAAGGUCAAGAGAUCGAGACCAUCCUGGCCAGCAUGAUGAAACCCCAUCUCUACUAAAAAUGCAAACAAUUAGUUGGGCGUGAUGGUGCACGCCUGUAGUCCCAGCUACUUGGGAGGCUGAGACAGGAGAAUUGCUUGAACCCGGGAGGCAGAGGUUAUGGUGAGCCAAGAUCACACCACUGCACUCCAGCCUGGUGACACAGCAAGACUCCGUCUCGAAAAAAAAAUAUAUUAAUGUAUUUACAAUGUAACAUCUUACAUAUUUUGAACAUAUGACAAGUUCAGCUAAGCCCCAGGAAGUACAGGGUCACCCUCAUCUGAGAUGUGCAGGACUGCAGGGGAAUGCAUUUGGGGGAGUUCAGAAAGUGGCACAUACGAAGGUGGAGAUGCCUGUUAGAUGUCCCAGCAGAGAAGUGAGGGGACAACUGAACACAGGUUUCUAGACCUCAGGGCAGAGGUCUGCAGGGCACAUGGAGACAGGUAGAUGGGGUUCAAAGCCAUGAGAUGAGAUGAUAAGGAAGGGUAGUGUGUGUGAAAAGAGAUGAGAAGAGUUUUGAGAUCCAAGCCUAUUCAACAUAGGGAAACCCAGUCUGUACUAAAAAAUAAAAAAAUUACUCAGGUGUGGUGGUAUGCACCUAGAGUCCCAGCUACUUGGGAGGCUGAGGCAGGAGGACCUCCUGAGCCCGGGAGUUCAAGGCUGCAGGGAGCUAUGAUUGCACCACUGCACUCCAGUCUGGGUGACAGACUGAGACCGUGUCUUAAAAACAAAAACAAAAAUGAAAAAGACCUAAAUCAUGGGACACUCCCACAUUCAGAGAAGACAGCUUCAGGAGACACCAGCAGAGGAAACUGGUAACACAAAAAUCUGAAACAAAGUAAUUAAACUUAGAGAUGUCUUCAAAGCUAAGAAAAAAGAACAGGGAAUGAUCAGCUGUGCAACAUGUUGCUAAGACGAAAAGAUGAGGAUAGGAAAUUCAAAAUUGGACUUCGAAACACAGAGAUCACUGGUACCUCUGGGAAAAAAGGAUCAAAGGAAUGGUGGAGGUGAAAGCUUAAUUGGAAGGGGGUAAAUCAAGAACUGGAGGCAAGACUGAAGACAGAAAUAUAAACAAGAUUUUAGUGUACUGUGUUCUCAAAUGGAGCGUUGAAGAGGGGUACUCACUACAGGGAGAGAUGUAAUUAAUAGAAUAUUUUUUAUUUUAAUCAUGGAGGAGUGGCAAGAAAAUGAAGGCUUCAUCUGUGCUUUUUUUUUUUUUUUUUUUUUGAGACAGUCUCACUCUUGUCACCCAGGCUGGAGUGCGGUGGCAUGAUCUCAGCUCACUACAACCUCCAUCUCGGCUCACUGCAACCUCCACCUCCUGGGUUCAAGUGACUCUCCUGCCUCAGCCUCCGGAGUAACUGGGAAUACAGGUACGUGUCACCACACCCAGCUAAUUUUUGUAUUUUUAGUAGACAUGGGGUUUCACCGUGCUGGCCAGGCUGGUCUGGAACUCCUGGCCAUAAGUGAUCCACCCGCCUUGGCCUCCCAAAGUGCUGGGAUUACAGGCGUGAGCCAUCGCACCCAGCCAGUGUGUCUGUGUGUGUUUUCAUGGACAAUACCUCCAUGUGGGUGCACUAACCAAAGUAAUCCCUUGAAGUAAAUAUUGGUGAUGCCAGAGGAAGGAUGUCACACUGUCCUGAGACUGUGAGUAGGGCUGGCACCUGGUGCACAAUCGCAGGGUCAGCAACAGCCAGGGGGAGGGACAGACCAUUCCCAGUUACUACUGAGUAGAGAUCACAGGCCCUGAGACAGGUGGGUGGGCCGGUUGGAGAUCUCUUCCCUUUACUGGUUGAGAUGGAAAUGUGCACGUGUUUUUCCGCAUACUGACCAGUUCUCUGGCACACUCCCAGCUGGAUGACCCACAAUUUAACUCAAUUUUGAUAGUAUCUACCUGGAGAUAGAAUCAGAUCCCAGUUAAGGACUCAGUCCCACAAGACUGCCCCUCACCUCAGAUAUGGAUAAAAUUAACGGUUUCCAAAACACACUCCUCUAUUUUGAUUUGCUAGGAUGGCUCUUCCACCUGUAUCCUUUGUAAUAACCUUUAUAACUGAUAGUAAACCUAAGUAAAAUUUUCUCUGAGUUCUGGGAACCAUUCCAGCAAAUUAAUAAAAUGUGAGGAGGCCGGGCAAGGUGGCUCAAGCCUGUUAUCCCAGCACUAUGGGAGGCCGAGGUGGGCAGAUCACCUGAGGUCUCAGGAGUUCACGACCCGUCAGGCCAACACGGUGAAACCCUGUCUCUACUAAAAAUACAAAAUUGGCCAGGCGAGCUGGCGGGCGCCUGUAGUCCCAGCUACUCGGGUGGCUGAGGCAGGAGAAUCGCUUGAACUCAGGAGGCUAAGGUUGCAGUGAGCCGAGAUUUUGAGCCCCUCUCCUCUCCCGCAGUUUCUCCCCUUCUUCCCUCUAUUCCUUCUUUUCCACUUCAUCUGCUCCAUCUUGCAAUUUUUUUCCUCUUGUUGCUCUUUCUCUCCAAUCUUUUGAUUGUCUCCAAUCUCCAUAUAUUUCUGCCUCUUUCUUCUCCCAUCUGUGCUCCUCCUGUUAAAUUCCCUCUUCUCUGUCACGCCCCCUUGUCCCUACUGUCUGGCAACCCCAGAUCUCUGGGGUGGUUCUCCCUUUGCCCUCCUUGUCACCGGCUGCCCCCUCUUGCUGUGCCAGCACCACGCUGCUCGGUCUGCCCUGGCUCCAAAUCCCUCCUCCUCUCCCCAACUUUGUCUGAGGAGCCUCCCGCUUUGCUGCCCCUCUCCCUACCUUGCUGUCCUUCAUCUGUCUAGAAAUAGAACUUUUCUCUACAUUUCUCGAGUUGCUUUUCUCUCCCUGCUACUUCCUGGGGUGCUUCUUUCACUUUGCAAAUCUCUCACCCUCCCUCUGCGUUGCCGUCUUGUUAUGGAUCUUCCUCAUUAUUUUCUCUCUAAAUUUUUCUGUUUCCUCUACCUCGCUCUCCAUCUCUCUUUCACUUCACAUUCACAGGGAGGGGACUGGAAUAAAAUACCCACCUCCUCAAGAGCACAGUUUCCAAUGGGAGGAAUUUGGGACGGAAGAACACUGGGUGCCCUGAGAUAGGUCCCGGCCACCUCCCCCAACACAGGAUCCGGAGAAGCCGUGACUGCGAAAAGGCCUGGGGACAGAAGGGAACGGCCCAAGGAGGACUACGGCGGCAGGCAGAUCAGGGGUGGGGUCUGCAGAAUCCCCAGACCAGGCAGAGGACGCGGCCCCUCCCGAAUGGCGGCUGCGGCGCUGCGCCCCAGGGGCCGACAAGGACGAGGCUUGGGACCCGGAGGGCGUGGAUCCGCCUCGCAGGCGGGGACUUUACGUGGCGCGGGGCUGGCGGAGGGGUCACUGAAGGGUUUUAAGCAGGAAAACGGCGCGAAAGCAGCUGCCUACGCAGCCCUACGGCAGAACGACCGGAGACAGAACCAGCCCUAGGGCGAUUUUAACACUCUGACGGGACGCAUGAAUUUACUCGGGGUGGAGAGAGCGGUGCGGGGAUUUCAAGGUCUGUACCGCCCCCCACAUCCCGGGUACAGAAGCGUGAGGGCACCGCUAAGCGAACACUUAAUCUAAACAAAGGAAAACUCACGCGCCGCAGUUGCGCCAUAUCUCCACGCCAUCCACUUCCGGGUCUGCAGGCGGCUGCGCGCGAACGGAGAGGCCGGGCCGGGGCGUGGCCAGCGACGUGGCGGGCGGGGCCUGAAUACUUAUUGGACGGGGCCUGCACUUCCCUCCUCCUAUCUCUGGGCGUGUCUCGGUUUUCCGCGUUUUGCAAGCCACACUUGCCAGUCAGGCUGGAGCCGCUCCACGGUUUGUGACCUGGGAUCUCACUAGGAGGGUCAACGUCUGUUGUUUGGAUCCAGGAAAGUUCCCACAAUUAAAAUUAAGGAAUUCAAUUAAAAUUUAGAAAUUUAAUUGAAAAUCCCUUAAAUUGUCUGUGAAAGGAAUGCAAACUAAAAUACAAUAUGCAAACUCAACCUGUGCAGAAUGUGUAAUUUCACGCUGACGCCCCACAGAAUAGCAUAGAAAUCCUCUCCAUUUCUAUUCCCCAUUCACUCUGGAGUAGAGAGUUCCAAAGAGUUUCCUGGGCCACAUCUGGGGCGUGGAGUGCUAAGGCCGGUGAGAAGUCAGGUCACCAGCUAUUGCUUUUAAAAAAGCAAUAGAGGCCGGGCACGGUUGCUCACGCCUGUAAUCCCAGCACUUUGGGAGGCCGAGGCGGUCGUAUCACUGGAGGUCAGGAGUUCGACACCAGCCUGACCAAAAUGGAGAAACCCCGUCUCUACUAAAAAUACAAAAAUUAGCCGGGCGUGAUGGCACACGCCUAUAAUCCCAGCUACUUGGGAGGCUGAGGCUUAGGUCAAUAUUUUCUAAAAAUACUGUAAUUUCAGAUUCACUUUAGGUGCAUUCUGAAAGUAAUAAGUAAACAUACUUUUUAUUUUAAAAAUUAUAAUCUCUUAAAUCUUGUUUGUUUUCUCUUCUUCAAUGUACUGGCCCCUGUAGAUAACAAAGCCCUUAAAAUAGUCUUCAGAAGACAAUUGUAUUUAUUGAUCUAAAGAAUAACUCUGCAGUAAUUCUAAGUGUAUUUGGUAGGCCGAUUAUUCUUUUAUAGAACCCUGAUAGAAGUAAAACUAGAUUAUCAAAUUUUAAAUAGCCUUACGUCUGCCGGCAAUAAUUUUAUGGCAAUAUUUUUGAAUUAACAGGUACUAAUAAGUAUGCUUUUCUCUGAUAUCUCACCCCCCCAACUUUUUUUUUCUUAAGACAGAGUCUAACUCUGUCAUCCAAGCUGGAGUGCAAUGGCACGAUCUCAGCUCACUGCAACCUCCACCUCCUGGGUUCAAGCAAUUCUCCUGCCUCAGGCUCUCGAGUAGCUGGGAUUACAGGCGCGUGCCACCACGCCUGGCUAAUUUUUGGAUUUUUAGUAGAGAUGGGGUUUUGCCAUGUUGGCCAGGGUGGUCUCAAACUCCUGACCUCAGGUGAUCAUCUGCCCACCUUGGCCUGCAGAGUGCUGGGAUUACAGGCGUGAGCCACCGCACCCGGCCUUAUAUCCCUAUUUUUGGAUCCCUUCAUCCAUCUUGAAGUAUGAUCAUGUUUAGAUAUGAAAAUGAACAUAUUUAAAAUAUUAGCAGGUUAAAAUGAGGAUAUAGUGAUAUGUCACAAAGAUGGAUACGAGAUGACAUAUCAGCAUUUUUUAUUUUUAUUUUUUUCAGUUGGAGUCUCGCUCUGUUGCCCAGGCUGGUGUGCUGUGGCAUGGCCUCCACUCACUGCAACCUCUGCCUCCCGGGUUCAAGCAAUUCUCCUGCCUCAGCCUCCCGAGUAGCUGAGAUUACAGGCGCCUGCCACCAUGCCCAGCUAAUUUUUUGUAUUUUUAGUAGAGACGGGGUUUCACCAUGUUGGCCAGGCUGGUCUCGAACUCCCGACUUCGUGAUCCGCCCACCUUGGCCUCCCAAAGCACUGGGAUUACAGGCGCGAGCCACCGCACCCGGCCCAUAUCAGCAUAUUUUACUUCGAUUAUUAUUAUUAUUUUUUAGAGACAGGGUCUAACUGUGUUUUCCAGGCUGCAUAUGUACUCCUGGGCUCAAGACAUCCUCUUGCCUCAGCCACUUAAGUAGCUAGGACUCCAGGCACACUCCAUGGUGGCCUAGGUCAGCAUUAUUUUUUGAAGAUGCAGUAUCUGGGAUAGAUUUUGGGAUCUGUACAAGAUAGAUGUCUAUAUUACACAAUAUUGCUAAAUAGCUAUGUUGCCACGAAACAACUUUUAGCAUUGACUUUUAUGAUCUGAAGCAAAGAAAUGAGUUGAUUGCAGAGCUUUUCAUGAAACUAAAAAGUAGAGGAUAAGCUGAUUAUAGCUUAAAGUUAUAAACCCAUUAUGUAUAUGGGGAGUUUGUUGCUUCUAAAAUUUUCAAGGGAUCAGCAUGGACAUUUUUGGUUUUUGUUUUUUUUUGACAGGAUCUCGCUCUGUCACCCAGGCUGGAGUGCAGUGGCACAAUCUCGGCUCACUGCAACCUCCGCCUCCCAGGUUCAAGUGAUUCUCCUGCCUCAGCCUUCUGAGUAGCUGGGAUUACAGGCGCGUGCCACCACACUCAGCUAAGUUUUUGUAUUUUUAGCAGAGAUAGGGUUUCACCAUGUUGACCAGGCUGGUCCCAAACUCCUGACCUCAAGUGAUCCUCCUACCUCGGCCUCCCAAAGUGGGAUUACAGGUGUGAGCCACUGCACCUGGCCAACAAUUUUAUUGAUGAAUAAACAUUUAACAGGAAUAUCAUACGCAAUAGAGGCAAUCCGUUAGGAGAUAGGAAAAAGAAUAAUUUCUAUACAACCCAUUAUAGACUGGUUUUUGAGAUAAGCACUGAUUAGCCUCAAAAACUUGAUUGCGCUAUUGCUUAUACAUUGUUCAUCCUGACCUUACAUGGUAAUUGGGGAGACCAUCUAUGUUAGCCAAUUAGCUUUAUUCAGAAGCAGGGGGGAAAACCCUAACUUAUAUGUUUACAACAGGUGGUAGUUUUACAAAAUGGAGCCAGGUACCCACUGUAGAUAGGCUCCUACCAACCCACAGAAACAGAGAGAUACAGGUGCUAUCUCUAGUGAUGUUGACAUUUGAAAGAGAUGUCUCCCAAGUCCUUGAGAAAGAUAUCCCUAGGUCAUUAUGCUGACAAAAGGUUUAUUUAGUUUCUAAAAAUAAACAUUUCGGGAGAAAGUACUCACAAGUUUUCUAAGGUAAAUAUUCUGACAAAAAGAGGAGGAAGAGAAAUGCCUUGCCAUAUUUUCAAAGGAGGAAUGCAGGCUCUCAUUUUUAUUUCGUAUUUAUCCCUAUAAGGCAUGCAUAGAAUAUUCACCAGUGACCUUAAUAUUGGCCAAAAGAAAAUUUCAGCUAAUUCAAAAAAUUAGGCAGGGCACUGUGGCUCACGCCUGUAAUCCCAUACUUUGGGAGGCCAAGGCAGGUGGAUCACCUGAGGUCAGGAGUUCAAGACCACCAUGGUGAAACCCCAUCUCUACAAAAAAUACAAAAAUUAGCCAGGCGUGGUGGCGUGCGCCUGUAAUCCCAGCUACUAGGGAGGCUGAGGCAGGAGAAUCCCUUGAACCCAGGAGGCAGAGGUUGCAGUGAGCUGAGAACAUACCAUUGCACCCCAGCCUGG
rnacentral:lncRNA from 1 species